rnacentral:rRNA from 1 species
GGAUUAGAUACCCUAUUAUUGGUAGAUGUAAAUUUUUUUACUUGAGUAGUAUUAGUUAUGAUCUUAAAACUUAAAGAAUUUGGCGGCAUUUUAGUCUGUUUAGAGGAAUCUGUUCCGUUAUCGAUAUUCCGCGUUGGAACUUACUUAAUGUCAGGUUUAUAUACCGCCGUUUGAUUUAUGAGAAUCCUUAUUUUGGGUUUAAAUAAUUUUCUUAUUACUUUUAGUGAGUAUUAUUUCAGGUCAAGGUUUAAUUUAUGGUUAAGGGGAGAUGGAUUACAAUAAAUUUUAGUUUAAUUAUGGAUUAUUAAUUGUAAUAUUUAAUAUGAAAGUGGAUUUAACAGUAAUUUUUCUUAUUAUGGUUUAAUGAUUUUAGCUCUAAAAUGUGUACACAUCGCCCGUCACUCUCGUUUGUUUAAUGAGAUAAGUC